rnacentral:rRNA from 1 species
UACUAGAGUAGCACUCGCAUAUCAAUAAGCGGAGGAAAAGUCAAUACCUACGCUUAGGAUGUUGACGCGCGUGUGUGCGUGAUCUAUACAUGACCCUGUGCAUAUCAAUAAGCGGAGGAAAAGGCUGCGGAACUGAACGACCGCUACCUACGCUUAGGAUGUUGACACACGCGCGUGCUCGACUCUAUACAUGACUCUGCUGCAUAUCAAUAAGCGGAGGAAAAGAAACUAACAAGGAUUCCCCUAGUAACGGCGAGUGAAGCGGGAAGAGCUCAAAUUUGAAAUCUUCAAGGUUCUACCUUGACGAAUUGUAGUUUAAAGAAGUGUUUUCUGUUGGAGUUUUGGUAAAAGUUCUUUGGAAUAGGACAUCAUAGAGGGUGAGAAUCCCGUAUUUGACCAUUAUCUUCCAACUGUGUGAUACACUUUCAAAGAGUCGGAUUGUUUGGGAAUGCAGUCCAAAAUGGGUGGUAAAUCUCAUCUAAAGCUAAAUAUUGGCGAGAGACCGAUAGCGAACAAGUACCGUGAGGGAAAGAUGAAAAGAACUUUGAAAGAGAGUUAAACAGUACGUGAAAUUGUCAAAAGGGAAGCGUUUGACACCAGUGUUGUUUUCUCGAAAAUCAAUUAAAAAUGACCGGGAUGUUGUGUUGUAUUGACUUUAUCAGCUUUCUGCACUUUUUUCUUGUCUUUUUUAAUGCACUUUUCGUUUAACAAGUCAACAUCAAUUUCUUUUGUUGUAAAAGGGGCAUUGGAAGGUGGCUUUCUUUUCGGAGAAAGUGUUUAUAGCCUUUGGCCUCUGCAAUCGGAGAGAUUGAGGUCUGCAGCGUAGAUCCUUCGGGGUUAGAUGCAUUUGUGCUAAGUUAUAGCCUUUCAUAGACAACUUGUUGACUAUGAUCAGUCAUGUAGCUUACUCGCUUAUGUCAUUUUACCUACGCUUAGGAUGUUGAUAUGCAUGACUGAUAU